UAAUAAUCUCAAGUGUACGUUGAGUGGAAUUGAGAAAAAGUGCCCAAACAGCAAAGUGAACACCAGCAGCGCGCCUCAACAAGUGAUGUCCAGUAUUGUGUGCAUUUUUGUGUCCGUUAUCGCUGGAUUUCAUUUAAAGACGUAGACGGGAAAGAAUGUUGGAAGAUUAAAACAUUCUAGAGCUAUAUCGUUUUGGUUAUUUCACACGCUAUCACAAACGCCAUAACCGAUAUCUGCUAUACACUGGUACCGUUAGAAGAUCAUAAAGAGAACAUUGCUUUAAAGUGUAACCCUGUGCUAAUUUUAUUUAUAGAAGCUUUGUGCAUUAAUAUGUAUGUUACUUGACUUAGCUUGUGUUAUGUGUUGAUGUUUGAAACCUGUUUCCGUUACGAAAAAUGUGUGGUCGUGUACAUGGCGGCCAUAACAUAAUGGCAAACAUUGGUUUGUGACAAGGUCAUCACAUACUACCUUAUCUUUUCCCACUUUUUAUAACAUUUAUAUAUUCUGAGCCAUUUUUCCCAUUCCAAAUGGUAGAUAUUAACUAAAAUGUUCUUGUUCUAUAUGGAUACAUUUAUAACCAUAAUCUAAAUCAUUUUAGUUCUUUUUUCAAUUACUAAC